UCCACAAAGACGACCUUCACAUGGGUCUGGCAGUUUUAAGAAGAGGCCAAGCAAGAGACGCCGUCCUGAUGUGCCAGCGACACCAGCAUUAUCGCCACCACAACGUCGCAUCUCCACUGUGUCGGGUCAGCCACCAGAAGCCAUUUUGGCCAGUCCGCAAUCCCAGGAAGCACAUUCCCCUCAGCUGUCUGAUGCUGACAUCAUGCCCCAGGAUCCCCAGCAGGAAACCGAUUUGCAGGAAACCUACACACUAUACCUGCAAGCUAUUGACCCAAACCAACCAGCCACGCCGCCUGAAAGUAGUCCGCAACCCCAAACAUCCCCAACCCUCCAGUUGAGCCCAACACCACCCCAGCCACAAAUUGACCAAUCAUUUUGGGACAGUUGGACAACACAACAGGCUCAAAAUUAUCAAUGUCUGCGCACACACAGCCAAUAUCUGGCCAGUCUGCUCCAUCAUCUACCUAGACUCAGUAGAAACACAAGCAGAGUCUAUGUACAUCUAGGCAGAGUGGCCAAUACAAUGGAGAUGAUGAAAGCAGACAACAGCCAACUUAUAGAUAGUUUUCAGCACAUAAUGGAUGAGCAACACCGCCAUCAGCAAGCCCUCAUUCAACUUAUCCAAAACAAUCAGCUUAUCACUGAAAGCCUGUCCCGAAUCAUCGCUAACAACACAGCCGCAUCAACCCAACUUACAGCAACCCUGUCCAACCUGAGUCAAAAUAUAAAUUUGUUGGCAUCACAGCAACAAGGAUCCAGCUCAGGGACAACUACACCUAGCCAAACCCCAAUUAGCUCCCCAGUUCGAAGAUCGAGCAGAACACGCUCCAAUGUGCCAUCUCAAACUUCUGCAGCCAGCAAACAACCCCCUAAGAAAUAAGCAACCCUGCAGCUGUGUCCACAUUAUUUGGCAGCAUAUGACAACAAUAUUGAAUUGUGGGAGACACUAUGACAUUUUUUAAGGUAAUAAAUUGUUAAAACGC